rnacentral:rRNA from 1 species
UACGUAGGGUGCAAGCGUUAUCCGGAAUUAUUGGGCGUAAAGAGCUCGUAGGCGGUCUGUCGCGUCUGCUGUGAAAACCCGAGGCUCAACCUCGGGCCUGCAGUGGGUACGGGCAGACUAGAGUGCGGUAGGGGGAGAUUGGAAUUCCUGGUGUAGCGGUGGAAUGCGCAGAUAUCAGGAGGAACACCGAUGGCGAAGGCAGAUCUCUGGGCCGUAACUGACGCUGAGGAGCGAAAGCGUGGGGAGCGAACAGG